GCCUGGCAAAUGAAGCGUGGUUGGGACGAGCCUUUGCCUCCCUCCUUUACAGAGGAAUGGCUGAAAUUAAAAGUGAUUUCUUGAAAGCAGACACCUCAGUAGUGAGAAUGGAUUAUUGUAAAUAUUGUAAAAUUACUGUACAUGACAAUGGGUUAAAGUAUUUCCUUCGCGGGGAGGAUGUCAAAAAAAAUUUUGACAGGGAAUAAUAAAAAAUAAAACUACAAAAAAAAUGGGAGUAAUUAUAAGAAAAAUGCUACUCCUACUUAGAGGAGAGGACUAGAUUGCACAGCUAACAGCAACAACAAAAAUGCUACUCCUACUUACGAGGAGAGGACUAGAUUACACAAGUAACAAAUACAAAAUAAGUUAACCAGCAAACUAACUUAAAUAAAACGAUGCUUCAAAGAGCUGCUUCGAAUAGCGCUUCAGAGUGCGAGGGAAGGCAGCGAGAGAGGAAGCGAGCCUGUCAGAGGCAGCAGCUUAUAGCUAUUGAAAGAAGACGGGUCGGCGCUGGUUGUGAUCCACCGUCGGGCUCGAUAUUUACUUAGACACGGCAAGCAGUCGACGCCCUGGAUUUCUACUACUUACUGCCGGGAUACGUCAAACUACAAUACUGCUCCCGCAUCACCAGCCUUACCAGAUACGGCGAGCAGACACGACGCCCGGACUACUAUACUACUAACAACUAGGAUUCGUCGAUCAACAAUACUGCUGCCUGUCAUUAACACCCUGAUGGUUACAGCUAAGUACCUUUCUAGCAUUAAUCCUAAUUUGGCCAAAUAGGUGAGGUGUUAGGAGGGGAAAGAAAUACGCACGACUCACGAGAAUCGGAGACGUUGCGUAUGAAGCAGUACUGUACGUGUGGUGCGUCAUAACGUCCACGCGACAGAAGGGCAGUAAAGUGUUCGGCACCACGAAUAAGCGGUGUCGUUACGGAGCAUGAAAACAACAAACCUCAGGUAAAUUAUAUCAAUAGUUCAGAAUCACCUGAGGUUGUCAUGCUAAAAUAAAUUAACUUUCACAACAAUUCACUAAAUCAUUACGUUUCGCCCUUUUCAGUGGUUUGUUUAGGGUACGAGGACAACAUUCAAAUAACUGGAAUCCAUCUCCCUUUUAUGUGAGUAGAAACCUGAACACCUUUUUAUAAACCCAGCAUUUAACUGUGAGCCACACCUACGAAGGUGAGGGGAUUUCAGAGGGUUUACCCCAAUAAGUGGCUAUAUAUUUUCCACACCAUCACCAUGAUAUCGCAUAGAUGUUGACGCGACAAACAUUCUUCGAGUUUGCGACGCGUGUUAAGAACAUCGCGCAUACGCUGAUCGAUAUCUACUACACCACCAUCAUCAUCUUCUGCAACAACGUACAACCGAUCGCUCUGUCGUGUCAACAGUUUUGCCACAGAUUCUUGAAUGGUUCCGUUUUCCGAAAUCGUCACUUCUACAGGUGGGGUUAGAAUCAGGGUGUUGAGCGUGUCCGUUAUGUUGAUUCUCUUUUUCAAGUAACUUAACAGUUUGAUGAGAGAAGCCAAUCUUACGUGCUUGUGCUUGAAUCUGUCAACAUUGGAGAGUAACAAAGCGUAAUAUGUUGACAAUUCAUCCAUAGCUUGUUCAGAAUAUGCAGUUCUAGGUUCAUUAACAAGACUAGGAGGUACGACCGUAGCCGUAGUAUUUGUGUUAGUUGCAACAUUUUCUUCGUCUAAUUUUCUCUUCUUAGACUGCACCGCCGUCAGACAAUCAGUCGUUGAUUUGGCUUUCAUCGUCUUGUGAUCGGAUAUAGCUAUUACAUUACCAAUGUUAUUUCUGAUAAAAGAUUUCAUGGAGUGAAUCAAGGAAAAGUUAUCCAAGGAUUUCCUGUAACUUUGAGUACAUUUGUAUUUGUGUUAGUGUUACAGAUGGUACAGUACUGGGACGCGACGUGUUUCACUUGCGGAUUUGUGCUUGUCCGACACGAGAUUUAAAGACAGACGAACAAGCUAACUCUAAGAAGAGAAGAUUAAAACGCAAAAGAUAUUCAACUGAGACUCAGAUCGCAAAAAUACCAAAACGAGUUGACCCAGAGCCUCAUGUGUCCAACUUAAAUGAAGUUUACAACAUUAAGGUAGUUGGACGUCAGUUGUACUUGUUCAUGAUGAAGAUCAUGCAGUUUUACUCCAGCACCCACCUGAACAUUCCUGACGCUCCAUGUCAACAAAACGAAAACACGAUGGUACACCAAGAGCAGGAUGUGCUCAUGAGAAACAUGUAUUCUAAUAAUCUGAAGAAGCUCAAAGAAAAGCUGAAGAACUUGAGAGAAGAAAGCAAACAGGGGAGUGAGCAGAAAAGCAUCGAAAUUAUAGAAAUAGAAAGCCCAGAAAACUCAGAAAAAGAAAAACAGGGAAGCCCAGAAAAUACAGAAAAAGGAAACACUAAAAAAAAAAGAAAACAAUCCUAUAGAAGAACCACUAAACCUAAUCAAAGACAACAACCCUAUAGAAGAACCACUAAACCUAAUCAAAGAUAACAAACCUGUAUCAUUACGUACGGUGAAAAGAAACAAACCAUAUCGUCACAUUCCAUUUGUACAUGUCACAAGGGAACCUCGAGAACCUCUUGUUACUCUCAAGAAAUUCUGAGUUAAGUAACACAUGUAUGUAAAUAGGGUUUAGCUAAAGUAGGGUCCAAUAUUUUAAAUAUUUUCGAAACGUUUUUAAAGUGUUAUUAUAUAAAUGUGUUUGAACAAAGUUAAACGGAAAAGAAACUUGCACAUAGUUUGUGCAAGAAACUGGGGUAAGGAUAUGCAAAGAGUUUGUCACAGGCAGGAUCUACACACAGUUUAACCGGAGAAGAAACUGGGGUCAGGAUUUGCACAGAGUUUGUCAGGUGGGUUCAAGAUUUGCACAGUUUAACUAGUCCCUGUUAAA